rnacentral:lncRNA from 1 species
GGCCACCCAGCCUAGCCCCAGCUGGAUUGGGGGAGAGCGUACCUGGGGCCUUCGGAUUUGGCUUGGGUUCCAGUGGUGCCACGUUCUUGUGCCUUCCCCACAGGGUCUUGGAAAACCGGAGGCGAUUGGACCGUGACUCCUUAGGGGGUGCAGAGAGGACCCGACGAAACAGAGAUCUGGGGGCUGGCUGGCUGUUCACCAUGGGCUCCUGAUGGCUCAGGGCCCUUCCCCAGCCUGCAAAGCGGCCCCAGCGGAACCCUCCAGCAGCCUUUUCCCCACUGCCUCCAGUGUGCCAGCGGUAGGAUGUCAGCGGAGAGGGCAGCGAGGGCUGCGUUUGGGAAUCUUCUUCACUCUGCAACGGUCAUCUUUAGCUACAUAGUGUGUUCAAGGCUAGCUUGGGCUACAAGAGGAUGACAUGA